CUUUGAGUUGGAUUUUCUGUUAUUCGCAACCCAAAGCAUCACGGCUGAUUCAGCAGAACAUGAGGUGGGAAGCAUGAAAACAGGACAGCACCCAGAGGGGAGGAUUUCUGGCAAGUGGAUGUGCUCCUGGUGGUUGAAAAAGGACACAGGUGGAAUUUGGAAGAGCCCCAGGAGGUCAAGAAUUCUGACAUUAGGGUGUAAUAUGCUUAUUCCACUCUGGGGUAGAUGCUGAAAACUGGAUGGGGGUUAGUGUGAGGAGACUGGCCCUGGUUUCAAACACGCCGAUUUCUAGUUUCCCAACUCCAUACUGUGUUCUCCGUGUUUUUACAGGCCUCAGCAUGCUUUUCCCUGCCUGCCGACCCUCCAGGACUUCAAACGCUGACUGGGUACUCAGAUGUCUAUUUCCAGCCUGCUGCUCUGUCACUGUCUACACUCUUACCAGGGAGGUCUCUUCCUGGAUUUAUCACUGGACUGCUGCCUUCCAGGAGGCUCACCUGCAACUUGUCUGGGGUGAAAGGGACAGAACACGCUGUCCUGGUGCUCUCUGUGCAGGAGCCCUGUCCAGUCUCUUGCUCUCCCGGUUGGACCUAUGUUCUCUCCGGUGGACUCAGCAGUGCGUUUUUUCAAGGAGAUCCAGCACUGUCACCUGCCCAAUCUUGACCAGCUAUUGCGGGUCAGCACUGGUUUCCAGAAUGCAACAUAAAUGGCAGAAUGGAAACUAACAGCAGGGAAAACUACAUACCUUGGUGCAUCUCUUCCACACAGCUGGUUCUGGAGCUUCCACUGGUGGAGAACACGCACGUGAGUACAGAGUGUGUUAUAAUGAUUCAUUCUAUGCAAUGUGCUGCAAUCAUUUCUAUGUAUAUGCAGCAUAGCUUAAUAAAAUUAUAUCAAAGACAACUUUAUAACAAAGCAGCGUUUUAAAGAGGUUACAGCUGUACAAUUAUUCCCUCAUUUGCUUCUUGCCAAAAUUCUAUAAUUUAAAUAAAUUAGAUUAAAUACUGUUAUUAUUGUACAUGCAGAAACGGAGGCUUGAGAUAGCUUAAGUGAUUUAUUUUAGGAAGUUUAGA